CAACCCUCAGGGCCCCUUCCGGGGGACCUGGCGUUGGGGAUCGGCCGCCCACCCGCGGCGGCCGGCCCCGAAAUGCAGUGGCGGUCUCGUCGCGACCUUCUGCGUAGUAGCGAUACCUCGCAGCUGGGGAGCGGCGCGGCCACGCCGUAAAACACCCAACUCUCCAAA
rnacentral:misc_RNA from 1 species